CUACUAUGUUCAGAGUUUGAUCCUGGCUCAGAACGAACGCUGGCGGCACGCCUAACACAUGCAAGUCGAACGAAGCUAAGGUGCUUGCACCUUAGACUGAGUGGCAGACGGGUGAGUAACGCGUGGGAAUCUACCUAGCAGCGGGGAAUAACUUCUGGAAACGGGAGCUAAUACCCCAUACGCCCUUCGGGGGAAAGAUUUAUCACUGUUAGAUGAGCCCGCGUUAUAUUAGCUAGUUGGUGAGGUAAGAGCUCACCAAGGCUACGAUCUAUAGCUGGUCUGAGAGGAUGGACAGCCACACUGGGACUGAGACACGGCCCAG
rnacentral:rRNA from 1 species